rnacentral:lncRNA from 1 species
AAUGUAAUCAUAAAAUCAUCUUCAUAGGUUUUACAUGUCUACCUUUUCAUACUUACAGAAACCUAGACAAUGAAGAAAAUUAUGAUGAUGUUGAAUUUGUUUCACAGGGUCAUGGAAAUAUACAGAAGGGCCAAGAAAGUGAUGGAGAGAUGUAUGAAGACAUUAAUGACAUUAGGUAAUAAUUCUGAACUCUAAAAUCUAUUGUAUCUUUAUUGCUGUCUUUUCUGAUAUGUGUAUUUCACCUGGCACAAAAGUGUCAUUCCACUGCAGUGUCUGACAGGGAUUACUCUCUUCAUUC